rnacentral:rRNA from 1 species
AACGAACGCUGGCGGCAGGCUUAACACAUGCAAGUCGAGCGCGUAGCAUUACGAGCGGCAGACGGGUGAGUAACGCGUGGGAAUCUACCCAACCCUACGGAAUAACGCAUGGAAACGUGUGCUAAUACCGUAUACGCCCUUAGGGGGAAGAUUUAUCGGGGAUGGAUGAGCCCGCGUUGGAUUAGCUAGUUGGUGGGGUAAAGGCCUACCAAGGCGACGAUCCAUAGCUGGUCUGAGAGGAUGAUCAGCCACAUUGGGACUGAGACACGGCCCAAACUCCUACGGGAGGCAGCAGUGAGGAAUAUUGGACAAUGGGCGGCG